GGAUCAUGUUAAGGUUGAAAAUCUCAACCCGAAAACGACCCACUUAACCCGAAAUAAAUUUCAGGUCAAAAUCAGGUCAGGUCAACCCGAAGUAUUUUAAGUGAAAAAAAAAACAUAAAAAGCCUUAAAACUCUAAAUAAGUAAAUAAGCCCAGCCCAAAUUCCUUAGAGGCUUCUUAAUGUAAAAUGAAAACCCUAAACCCCUCUCAUCCUACACUCAUUUCUUCAGCCGUUUUCACUACUUUUUCCCACUUCUCUCUCUUCUCUCUCCUCAAAAACCCUAAAUCACUUCACGGCUUCACCAUUGUUCAAUCAAAGUUCUUCAAGUCUUCACAAUUGUUGAUUUCGACUACAAUUCUUAUCUUCUCACUCUCAUACGCAAGUUGCGGCCACUCAAAUCCAUCUUUCUUUCAGAGAGGAGAAGUUUCAUUCCACUAUGGAGGGUGGGCAUAACAAAGAGAUUUGAAGAUUUUAUUUAAAUCACUAUAGUUUUUGAAAUUCAAUUUGUAAUUUGUUAAGUAGACUACUUGGUUUGUAAUCUAUUAAGUAGUUUUGUUAGACAAUUUUGUUUGGGUUUGAAUCGCUGUUUUGCUUCAGAAUUUAAAAUGCAAUUGAAUGAACUGCAAAAAAAAAAUACCUUUUGAAUGAAUAAAAUCAGAUUGGCUGGGUUGACCCAACCCAAAUAAAU